rnacentral:rRNA from 1 species
AUGGUCGCCCUCUCUGGCGGCCACACCAUUGGACAAUCGCAGUGCCGGUUUUUCAGGAGCAAGCUCUACAACGAGACCAACAUCGACACGGCCUUCGCGACAUCUCUCAAGGCCAACUGCCCCCGACCGACCGGCUCCGGCGACAGCAGCCUGACGCCUCUGGACACGAAGACGCCCAAUGGGUUCGACAACGCAUACUACAGCAACCUGAUGUCCCAGAAAGGGCUCUUGCACUCCGACCAGGUGCUCAUCAACGACGGACGCACCGCCGGCCUGGUUCGGGCGUACUCGUCGGCGUCGGUGCAGUUCAAUAGGGACUUCGCGGCGGCCAUGGUGAGGAUGGGGAACAUCAGCCCGCUCACCGGGGCGCAGGGGCAGAUAAGGCUCAGCUGCUCCAGGGUGAACUAA